rnacentral:tRNA from 1 species
GGCCAGGUAGCUCAGGUGGUAGAGCAGGGGACUGAAAAUCCCCGUGUCGGUGGUUCGACUCCACUCCUGGCCA